rnacentral:misc_RNA from 1 species
GAUGAAGAACGCAGCGAAAUGCGAUAAUUAAUGUGAAUUGCAGAAUUCCGUGAAUCAUCGAGUCUUUGAACGCACAUUGCGCCCCCUGGUAUUCCGGGGGGCAUGCCUGUCCGAGCGUCAUUGCUGCCCAUCAAGCACGGCUUGUGUGUUGGGUCGUCGUCCCCUCUCCGGGGGGGACGGGCCCCAAAGGCAGCGGCGGCACCGCGUCCGAUCCUCGAGCGUAUGGGGCUUUGUCACCCGCUCUGUAGGCCCGGCCGGCGCUUGCCGAACGCAAAUCAAUCUUUUCCAGGUUGACCUCGGAUCAGGUAGGGAUACCCGCUGAACUUAAGCAUAUCAAUAAGCGGAGGA